UGCAUUCAUGGUGACCACUGGUGACAUGUGAAUCAUAAAUUAUAAAUACAUCUCCAGAACUCUGAAAUCUGU
ensembl:snoRNA small nucleolar RNA, C/D box 114-24